UCACUCGAGAGUGGCUUAAGUGGUAAGAGCGUCCGCCUCGGAUGCGGGGAGGUCGUGGGUUAGAAACCAGGCCGAGUCAU